GUACACAAUUUUAAUAUGACUCAUAUUUCCAGAGGUUGUACAGUGUAUUCUGACAAUAGUAACAGAAUACAAGAAAGGAAAAAGAACAGCAGAGCCAUAUGGAGACAUGCAUCAUUGGCAGACCCAUUGAAGUGGGACUGAACAGCAGGCAGCAAGUUUAUACUCAUACAUCUUUGAGUUUAUUUCAUGCCCAACUGUGCAAGCACAAGAUAUAGGUGUAGAUUAUUUACACUUUUUGGAGAAUACCAAAAUGCAAUGGCUCAAGCUUUGAAUAAUACUUGGUAAAGGGGAAGAAGAUACGAUCUGUACAGAUCCCAAGUUAUCUGUACUCUUUUAUCAUCCCUCCAGUUUUUCUAAUACAUCUUUUGUGUUCUGUCAUUGCAAAGUUGACUUCUAGAUGUAGCUACAAGUGCUGAUUGUUCGUAGGCCAUAAUUGUACCCUUGAAGUUCAAAGAGUAAAAGACAUGAACUAACUAGAAGGAUGAUGUAACAACAUAUAGCUUGUACAUUGACUCAAAAUACAAGUAAAGAUUAAUGGAAGAAAAAAAUCAUUUAAAUACUGCUAAAUACAAAAUGUGAAUUCUUUACUUUUAUAGACUUGAAACCUCAAAACACUGAGAUGUAGGGAUUGACUGCAAAAGUUUCACUAAAUCAGUAUAUCACUGUGUUCUUUCACUCUUCCAUCGGCUCUCUGGGGCAGUAUUGGUGACUGCCAGAGGCAGCCCAGUAGGCCAAAUGAUCAUUUGGUGUAAUUUAGUAUGAUGUUCUGUGUUUUCAACCAGUGUCUAGAUACCAGCAUGUUUUCCUUUCGAAGGUUCAUUUUUGGCAUCCAAGUAAACUUGACUUUCUUCUAAGGUUUAUUCUACCAGUAUUUGUAUAUCAGUAUUUGUAAAUAUUUGUAAACUUAUAGUUUUACAAAUCACUCUCCAUUGGACCUACCACAGCUGUUUUUAAUGAUGCUUUGAAGAAGAAAACCUCUGUGAGAGUAUUUAAGCUUUUCCAGUUCGGUCUCUUAAGGAACACUUCUCUUUGUUACACAACAAGGACAUCAGAAUGACACGGGUGUGUUUUCACAGAGAUCAUCGAGUCCAACCCCACUGUGAAGCAGCCUCACUACAGCAGGCUGCACAGGUAGGCAUCCAGGUGAUUACAAGCUACAUAGCCACUUGCUAUCACCACAGUGUCAGUCAGUUACUCAAUAUGUCUAGAUCUGAAGGACAGUUAUUUAACACUGUGUUUGUGGAGUGCCUACAGUUUGUUCCUGGUCAGCUAUGUGGGAGUCUUCGCACAUCUGUGGUACUGUCCAUGCUGCUGCUGCUUCAGAGUCUUUCAUCAGCCUUUGUGACUUACCAUGUGCAUUGAAGUGCUGCAUUCUAACAGGAUAAAAUAAGGCCUUAUAAUUAAUUUUUCUGCAUUACUGAUUCAGCUGGAAGUUUUUGGUGCUCUGACCUUUCUGGGAGACAAAUUGUGGUCGUCUUCGCUGGCCUCAAAGUUUACUGACUUUGCAGAGCAUGCACAUCUCUGCUGCAUUACUGAGAAUUCCAGUAUUCUUAGUCCACAAAAUAAAUUUGUUUUAAAAUUAAUACUAAGGUAUAUGAUUUACAAGGACAUUCAAAAGCCCUUUGAAACAGUCUUUUUCAAUAGAUUAUUGAGAUAACUGAAUAGUUCUGGGUGAAAGUUAAAGUUCCGUCAUGAGUUGGAAACAUACAAAGAGACAGAAGAUAGAGUGGGAAUAAAUUGUCAAUUUUCAGAAUGGCAAAAGGUUAACAUUUCUGUCUACCACUGACCUGUACAUUAGAAGGCAUUGUUUAAUAUAUUUAUUAAUGAUUUGGAAAAAGGGCUGAAUUAUAUGGUAUAUGUCAAAAUUUCAAGUUGACCCGAAAACUUAUUUAGCCUUUUCAAGCUUUGAGGUGACUUUGUGGCCCUCCGGAGGAAUGUGGAAUGACAAGUAGUGAAUGUCAUGGUGGUAGAAGAAAGAGAGUAUUGAUUAAUAUGAUACAUUUUGAGGGAGUAAUUUAACUGCUUACAUUGAUAAUUUAACUGUUUGCACUGAUGGUUAAAAAUCAGUAUAGACAGGUUUUGAGAAGGAACACCACUGUCUUCUUGUAAGAAGACACAAAAAUCCUGCUUUACCGUACAGUACAAUUGAAACAAGGAGACAUUAUUUUAGGUAUAUGAAAAUUGAGAAGUGUGCUGACAAAAUAUCAUAAUACCAUUUUUAGUUUGAGGUAUGAUCUCAUGAAAUUAUGCUGAAUUUGGGAUGUUACAUUUUAAUAUAAAAAUACCAUUCAGUUGCCUGAAGAAGGAUCAUUUUUUGUGUCUCCACAGAUAUUUCCAUUAUGCACUCCCACUAUUUCAGACCGUAUAGUGUGUCUGUAUGUAGCUCCUAGUAAAGCUGUACUUUGAAAGCCACAGGGGAAUGUGGUUUCAUCCCCAUUCAUGUAUAUCUGUGUGAGACUUUGCUAUAUGUCAUAGUUUUUAUCAGCAAGCUAUUAUUUCAA